GUGGGGAAUCUUAGACAAUGGGCGCAAGCCUGAUCCAGCCAUGCCGCGUGUGUGAAGAAGGCCUUCGGGUUGUAAAGCACUUUUGUCCGGGAAGAAAUCUUCCAGGUUAAUACCCUGGGAGGCUGACGGUACCGGAAGAAUAAGCACCGGCUAACUUCGUGCCAGCAGCCGCGGUAAUACGAAGGGUGCAAGCGUUACUCGGAAUUACUGGGCGUAAAGCGUGCGUAGGUGGUUCGUUAAGUCUGCCGUGAAAGCCCCGGGCUCAACCUGGGAAUGGCGGUGGAUACUGGCGGGCUAGAGUGCGGUAGAGGGUGGUGGAAUUCCCGGUGUAGCAGUGAAAUGCGUAGAGAUCGGGAGGAACAUCUGUGGCGAAGGCGGCCACCUGGACCAGCACUGACACUGAGGCACGAAAGCGUGGGGAGCAAACAGGAUUAGAAACCCGAGUAGUCC
rnacentral:rRNA from 1 species